CUUGUUCAGAGCAAAGUUUUAGAGAUAAGAUGAUAGUCAGUGAAACCAUAGGUGAUCUGGGAUUCCCAGAAAGCAAAAUAAAAAGGUAUUAAUCAGGAAGCUAUGUGGCUGGGACUAUCCAAUCAUAGGAAUAGCAUGGAGGCAACUUUGUACUUGGUACUUGGAGGCAACAGUAAAAAUUAUGAAGGGAAAAUGAAGAAUACUGAAUAGAUGAGAACUCUCUGCUCAGAGGUUAGAUUCCAAUUACAGCUGUGUUCCUGAUUGAAAAGCUUCCUAGCAGAAUAUCCAAGUCCAGUUGCUGGAAAAAAAAAAGGAACACAUAGUGAUUGCCUCUGCUUUCACAACCUGAAAGCUAGAAGCUAUGCUGAAGCUAACACCUUGUGAAUCUAUGGAAAGAAAUAAACACAUUUUGGAAAUGGGAAAGAAGAAUUGCUAACCCAGAGUAAAUCAAAAAGUCACCUUAAAUACAAAGAAGCAAUAUAAGAAGCAAUAUAUUCAGUCUUCUUUCUGGCCCAAGAUCUGGUCAUGUCAUGUUCAAAUGACAUUAAAAGCAGUGCAUGUGAA